AAAGCCGUGUGCAUUGAAAGGUGCCCGCACGGUUUGGGGGGAGGCGUAGGGACAUCCUCCGCGGAGGUGUUCCACGCCUACCCUAC
rnacentral:ncRNA from 1 species